rnacentral:misc_RNA from 1 species
UACAUACUCAAUAGACUUGUUCUACUAAACGCAGGCACUCGCAUCCUGUACGGAACGCGACAAGCUUGUAAUUAGAGAAAGCAGCUCAACUCAACCUAUACGUCGAAUUCAGCUUACUAAAAAAGAAGCAAAACGCAUACCUUCUACAGAGCACUUGGUCAAAAUCCGUCUUUUGUUGCUUUAAUUUUGUGGCCGAGAUAAUAAACGGUCCAAGCGUAGUGUGAACGUGAGCGCAAAACGGACCGGUCGGACGCAGCGCGCAUGCGAUUCCCCGCUCAAAAAUGACCAUCGCAAAAAUUGCGCGCGAAACAACACGCCUGUUAUUUUUCUUCUUUAUAUUUUUUAAAUCUUAACCAAUAAGUUUUUAAUAGGGCAAUUUUUUUAUUUUAUUUCCUCACCAAAGAGUUUCGCUCAAUUUUAUAAUUAUGAAAUUAAAAUGCGUACAAAAUUGAUGUACAUAAAAUGUGCAGUGUUGAUAGUGAUAUUGUUUUUAGUGAACGGUUGUGAUAAUAAAAAAGUGACGUCUGUUAUAAGGGACAAUGGUGGUUUUAGUGAAGUCCAACAUAAUUACCUGUCACAGGAACGGAUUAGGAACAUUUCGAGCACAUCAGAGGUGGAGCAAAGUAGAGGAUUUUUCGGCCAUGGUGGCAUCUUCUCUCUCGGCAAGGUGCUCAACUUCUUCCCGGUGGGCGGGGAGCGGGAGUGCCAGCCGCAGAAGUAUACAGUCGCACGCGCAGGCAUCUGUCUCAACCCGUACGACUGUAGACAGCGAGACGGCAAGGCGGCUGGGAACUGUGCGCAUGGGCUCGGCGUAUGUUGCGUUUUCGAGGUGACCUGCGGCGGGACCGUGCAGAACAACCUGACCUACUUCAUGUCCCCUGGGUUCCCGGAACUGUGGACCGGGGAGAAGGAAUGUUCCAUCACCGUGGAAAAGGCCUUCGCUGGCAUCAUGCAGCUCCGGAUCGACUUCGUGCAUUUUACUAUCGGCCAACCAAACAGGAUGACGGGAGAGUGUGAUGAAGACGCGAUGAUCAUAGGAGAGGGGAGGAACAACUUCACCGUGUGUGGACAGAACCACGGACAACAUAUAUACUACACGCUACCAACAGCAACCGAGUCCCGGGAGGCUGGUGAGCUACCUGUCAGCAAAAGCACUCGUCUCACCGUGGUCAUGCGAGGCAGCGACAUGCCUCGUCUCUGGCUGCUCAGACUCGCGCAGAUGCCCCUCGCCAACUCUGCGCCGCACAACUGUCUGCAAUACUUUACUGCUAAUAAUGGAACAAUAAAAACCUUCAACUAUGCCAGCAACGGGCGGCACCUGGCGAGCCAGGACUACAGAGCCUGCAUCAGGAAGAACGCCGGCCAUUGCGCCGUCAGGUACACCGCUUGUGACGGCAGAUCCUUCAGGAUUGGCAACGGAGGAUCUUCAUCAGCUGAUCCUUAUUACAGCGUUGGUUCAGGUCCGGGUGCUUUAGGAGGACCAGGCACUGGCUUCUACGGACCUGAAGGGUCAUUCAUACAAGGAUCUCCUGCCAUGCUAUCUUCUACACCACGAGCCACAACAUUGGCCCAAGAGCAGCAGAUCAUCGAAAACGAUCCAGUACAGGAAGAUCAGAUGAUGGAAGCAGAUGGCUCGCAGACGCAGCAGGAUGAGGUGGAAGGCUCCGGAGCGGACCCUCAGAUUGAACCUCAGACACAAUCGACCCGGCCAGCUCGACCACCGCCGUCGAAGAGCAUCAUGCAAGUGAUCUGGAGCUUCAUCUGGCCUUCUUGGCUCUGGGGACAGUCCAGGACAUUCAACACGAGAUGGUCACCCUACGCCCAGCACUACAAGACUGGUCCAGAGAAUGAUGACUUUAGAUACAACGGCUACGGACACUUUGGACUGGGUCUCCACGGGUUUGGCAGACUGAGGUGCCGCGAUAGAAUCACUAUACCCUGUGAGAACGAGUAUUUUUUAUCGAGUGUCCCCUACGGUCCUGGGGUGUGUGACCCUCAUCACUGCGGCGAUUCCUUCUGUCCUGGACAGUCCCAUAAGAACUGCCGUGUGGAGACCUCAAUCACUCCCUUCGCGGUGUCUGUCCACUUCGGACCUCCCAGGAACAAACAGAACCCUGAGGACAACAUUGGAGCUUGCUUGAAAUAUCAGCAGAUACCUUGUGACUCGUGAUCUGGGGGUCUAAAAAGGCAAAGUCGGCAUUGCGCCCUUAUUUUUAAAUGCGCCGAUGUAAAAUGCCAAUGUUUUAGAUCAACUCCUAAAAAGUGGCUUUUUUAGACUUCCAGCGCAGUGUGAUUCUCUAUGUUAGUGACAUCGCUGGGUUAAAAAAGGCCAUAACAUAACAUAAACUGCCUAUAUACGUCCCACUGCUGGGCACAAGCCUCCCCUCAAUCAACCGCCCCCCUCCGGUUGAUGGAGCAUACUCCACCACGCUGCUCCAAUGCGGGUUGGUGGAGGUGUUUUUUUACGGCUAAUAGCCGGGACCAACGGCUUAACGUGCCCUCCGAAGCACGGAAUCAUCUUACUUUUUCGGACAAUCAGGUGAUUCAAGCCUGAAAAGUCCUUACCAAACAAAGGACAGUCUCACAAAGUGAUUUCGACAAUGUCCCCAUCGGG